rnacentral:tRNA from 1 species
CGGAAAGCGCUGGGCGGGCCAGGCGCAAUAUCGCUGUGCGGAUUGCAUCGGCGAGCCGCCGCCGUUCGAGGCGACUUUUGCGC